rnacentral:rRNA from 1 species
GAACGAGAAAGUGGAGCAAUCCAUGAGUAAAGUGGCGACCGGGUGAGUAACACGUGACUAACCUACCUCCGAGUGGGGAAUAACUCCGGGAAACCGGGGCUAAUACCGCAUAACAUCGCAAGAUCAAAGCAGCAAUGCGCUUGGAGAGGGGGUCGCGGCUGAUUAGCUGGUUGGCGGGGUAACGGCCCACCAAGGCGAAGAUCGGUAUCCGGCCUGAGAGGGCGCACGGACACACUGGAACUGAAACACGGUCCAGACUCCUACGGGAGGCAGCAGUGGGGAAUUUUGCGCAAUGGGGGAAACCCUGACGCAGCAACGCCGCGUGGAGGAUGAAGCCCUUUGGGGCGUAAACUCCUUUCGACUCGGACGAUAAUGACGGUACGAGUGGAAGAAGCACCGGCUAACUCUGUG